GCAUGUCUGCACAGACCUCAAAUGAUGGAGCAUUCUCCUCCCCAAUUCUGGCUGUCCUUUGUCAGACUCUACAAUCAUGGCUAGAAGAAAAAAGUUGACUUAACCGUUCUUUGUUGAAAUUCGGGACUAUGUUAGAGAUACCAGGUCUCAUUCAAAUACAGCCUUCAUUAAAAGACCCUUAAGUAACCAGAUCCCAAGAGCAGAGAGCCAUCAUGCCUCCAACUCAGUUUCUUCAGAUUGGCUGGUUUUUGUGCUCAACUUUUGACUUUACCCACCUUCCUGACGAAGUUUUGAGGACCACUAGGUAAGCAUGCUAUCUUCAACGUUAAAAAAAAAAUCAUGAUUGAAGGCAGCUGCACUUCAUAUAUCAAGGAGCAUUGAAUAUAACUAACUCUAAAACUU
rnacentral:sRNA from 1 species